AGUCAUUUGUUUUUCUAUAAAUUUCCUGUUCCUUAACUUUAUUUUUCUCUUAGGAUGUUAGUGUUUUUAUAUGCAUUUGAAUGAAUUUCGUAUGUAUGAAGUUCAUAGACCCUAUGACAUAUUUCAUGUAAAUAUUUUUUUCCCAGUUUUCUGUUUGCCUUAUAACUGGGUGUGCAGAAUGUUUUGGCAUGCAGAAAAUUUGCAUUUUUCGUAGCAUUCUCAAAUCCAUCAAAUUUUUCCUUCAGCUCUUUCAUGAUAUUUGGAAAGAAAGGAAAGAGGCAGGUCUUUAGCUUGAAGGACUAGGAAAGUCCAGGAAAGUUUUACUCCUGCUUAUUUUCCCUCUUCCUUUCCUUUCUUCCUUCCUUUCUUCCUUCUCUUCCUUUUUUAAAAAGAUACUAAACCCUGAACUUUUUACUGAUAAAGAGACUUGAAGUGAAAAUACACCGAAGAUAGAAGAGAAGGGAUGUUUGAUGGAGUAUGUCCCAGAAGAAACAAGAAUGAUUACCACAGAGAGCUUAACUUCAAUUCAGCAAGAAGAGCUUAACUUCAAUUCAGCAAGAAGCAUGACUUUUAUUUUAAACUGGGGAUGCUGAAGUAAGGAGCAAUGAAGUGACCUAAGGAUAGGUAUUUUAUUAUCUUCUGUGCCUCAGAGGGCCUGGAGUGUGGAGGGUGCUCAACAGUUCUUCAGUAGCUGACAUUUGGA
rnacentral:lncRNA from 10 species